UGAUGCUAUGUGCUCAGCGAUGAUGGGGAGAAAGGGGUGGGUGUUGGAGACGAUGCUUAUUGGGUUAGCGUGCGCCGUUGAUCUCAUUGGGGUUUCAGGGGACGUCGGCACAGCUACAUCAUACGGUCCUCCAUAUCUACCGACGAAGUGCCCCGGCUACACCCAGGAUCAGCUGCCUGGGAACGGCCAUUUUGUGGCGGCAGGCAGUGGCAUAUGGGACAACGGCGCCGCCUGCGGCAGAAGGUAUCUGCUGCGGUGCCUGAGCGGCCUCCGACGGCCGUGCAAGGAUGGCUCGAUCGUCGUUGAGGUCGUGGAUUUCUGCAGGCACAGCCCGUGUCCUUCCACCCUGGUGUUGUCCACCAGAGCCUUCGACGCCGUCUCCAAAAUCCCAAACACCAAGAUAAAUGUCGAAUACGCACAAAUAUGAUCCGGAGGAGGUGCCGCGUGAAGGAGCAGCUGAACUCAUGGAAAUAGCUUGGAGAAUGAGCUGAAGGAGGCACGAUACGAAGAAGCUGCUCAACCAGAGCUCUCUUCGGUCUCAUGUUUGCACAACUACUUGAAGUUAGUUGAGCUACUUCUCUCAAGCUUAGAUCAGCAGAAGAAUUCACUUGCAGAUAUGUUCAUUACUGGUCCUUAUUAGUUGGAUCUCCCAAGUUUAGUAACAAUGUAUCGGGUAUGCUAUCUUGUAGUUAUAUUGUUGUUUGUUACUCGUAGUGUCGGUGCUAUGAUGUAAAGAUCAACUACCAAUAGAUGCAUGAUA